rnacentral:lncRNA from 1 species
AGUGUUUGUUUAAUCUACUAUUUUGACGCAAUAUGCAUUCUACGAAACUUUUUUUAACGAUCCAACCGUCAAACUUAUUUGUACACAUUCCAAGAUUUCAUACGUAAAAAAUCGUAAAAAACAAACAUUCAGAGAUUACGUAACGGAACAAAAGUUAUCAACGGUUAUAAACAAAAAUUCACAAUUUAACGGUUAUUUUAGCUCCGAUUUUGAUGAUUUUUUACAGAUACACUCCUCGACCCUAUAUGAAUGUAAUGAAUAAAUUUGAUCUUUAAUUUA